rnacentral:rRNA from 1 species
GACGAACGCUGGCGGCGUGCCUAAUACAUGCAAGUAGAACGCUGAAGAGAGGAGCUUGCUCUUCUUGGAUGAGUUGCGAACGGGUGAGUAACGCGUAGGUAACCUGCCUUGUAGCGGGGGAUAACUAUUGGAAACGAUAGCUAAUACCGCAUAACAAUGGAUGACACAUGUCAUUUAUUUGAAAGGGGCAAUUGCUCCACUACAAGAUGGACCUGCGUUGUAUUAGCUAGUAGGUGAGGUAAUGGCUCACCUAGGCGACGAUACAUAGCCGACCUGAGAGGGUGAUCGGCCACACUGGGACUGAGACACGGCCCAGACUCCUACGGGAGGCAGCAGUAGGGAAUCUUCGGCAAUGGGGGCAACCCUGACCGAGCAACGCCGCGUGAGUGAAGAAGGUUUUCGGAUCGUAAAGCUCUGUUGUAAGUCAAGAACGGGUGUGAGAGUGGAAAGUUCACACUGUGACGGUAGCCUACCAGAAAGGGACGGCUAACUACGUG